rnacentral:rRNA from 1 species
GACGAACGCUGGCGGCGUGCUUAACACAUGCAAGUCGAACGGAAAGGCCCUGCUUUUGUGGGGUGCUCGAGUGGCGAACGGGUGAGUAAAACGUGAGUAUCCUCCCCUUAUCUUUGGGAUACCUUCUGGAAACAGGGGCUAUAACCGGGUAGAACCUCUUGAUCCUUGUGGGGGUUUGGAAAUUUUCGGCGGUUGGGGAUGGACUCGCGGGUCAUCAGCUGUUUGGGGGGGUAGGGGCUUACAAGGCUUUUGACGGGUAGCCGGCAUGGGCGGGGGACCGGCCACAAUGGGACUGAGAUACGGACCAGACUCCUACGGGAGGCAGCAGUGGGGAAUAUUGCACAAUGGGCGGAAGCCUGAUGCAGCAACGCCGCGUGCGGGAUGACGGCCUUCGGGUUGUAAACCGCUUUCGACUGUGACGAAGCGUGAGUGACGGUAAUGGGUAAAGAAGCACCGGCUAACUACGUG